CUGUCUACAAGCUCGGGACACUAAUGCAGGAUGCUUCAUAUUUCGAGGAUACUAUCAUCAUUUUCUCGGUAUGAACGCUCAAUGGAGGCAAAUGGGGAUCUUGGCAGCCCAUUAUUGCGGCGGAAAGUGAUGUGUCACACAGAUACUGCAGAUGAUCUUGUAGACUAUAGAGUGUAAGGCUAAAGUCAGCCCAUAGUAGCUUGGCAUACUGACCUGUAUAGCGACAAUAUCUCUGAUGAUGAAGAGGAAGAAAUUAUCAUGAUGCUCGAUAAUGCAAACAUAAUAGCUGUGGAAGAUGAGAUACCUUCUCUAUUUUUUGAUGGUGGAAACAAGUUGUUACCAAAAUGUACAAUUCUUUUGGGAAGGUUUAAAGGAAAAUGUUUGCUGUUUUCAGUACCUGGUGUGGAAUGCAAAAUAAAAGUAA